AGCAGCCGCGGUAAUUCCAGCUCCAAUAGCGUAUAUUAAAGUUGUUGCAGUUAAAAAGCUCGUAGUUGAAUUUCGGGAUCAAUUUAUUGGUCGUGCAAUAGUACGUACUGGUAUUACUGGUUCCUACCUUCUGAUGAACCAUGAUGUCAUUAAUUUGGUGUUAUGGGGAAUCAGGACUGUUACUUUGAAAAAAUUAGAGUGUUUAAAGCAGGCUCACGCUUGAAUACAUUAGCAUGGAAUAAUGAAAUAGGACGUUUGAUUCUAUUUUGUGGUUUCUAGGAUCGACGUAAUGAUUAAUAGGGAUAGUUGGGGGCAUUAGAUUCAAUUGUCAGAGGUGAAUUUCUGGAUUUAUUGAAGACUAACUACUGCGAAAAGCAUUUGCCAAGGAUGUUUUCAUUAAUCAAGAACGAAAGUUAGGGGAUCGAAGACG
rnacentral:rRNA from 1 species